rnacentral:rRNA from 1 species
UACGUAGGUGGCAAGCGUUGUCCGGAUUUACUGGGCGUAAAGAGCGCGCAGGCGGUCGUUCAAGUCGCGUGUGAAAGCCCCCGGCUCAACUGGGGAGGGUCACGCGAUACUGAUCGACUCGAAGGCAGGAGAGGGUAGUGGAAUUCCCGGUGUAGUGGUGAAAUGCGUAGAUAUCGGGAGGAACACCAGUGGCGAAAGCGGCUUCCUGGCCUGUUCUUGACGCUGAGGCGCGAAAGCUAGGGGAGCAAACGGG